GAGCGCGUCUGCUGGGCGACAGACUCACAGGAAAAGUUAGUCAAGAUGGCAAAUCCCACAGACCCGGAGUGAAGGGGCACCGCUCCCCGAAAAAAAGCUCAGCCUGCCGCCCGUCCCGAGACAAAUACCCCAACGAUGCAAACUGCCCCAGGAGGCUUAAGAGGGAUUCCCUGAAGAACAAGAAG